ACACAUGCAAGUCGUGCGAGAAAGUAUCUUCGGAUAUGAGUAGAGCGGCGGACGGGUGAGUAACGCGUAGGAAUCUACCUAGUAGAAGGGGAUAGCCCGGGGAAACCCGGAUUAAUACCGUAUACCUCCUUCGGGAGAAAGAAGGCCUCUCUUUGAAGCUUUCGCUACUAGAUGAGCCUGCGUAAGAUUAGCUUGUUGGUGAGGUAAAGGCUCACCAAGGCGACGAUCUUUAGCUGGUCUGAGAGGACGAUCAGCCACAUUGGGACUGAGACACGGCCCAGACUCCUACGGGAGGCAGCAGUGGGGAAUAUUGGACAAUGGGCGCAAGCCUGAUCCAGCCAUACCGCGUGUGUGAAGAAGGCCUUCGGGUUGUAAAGCACUUUAAGCAGGGAGAAAAAGUUAUAAGUUAAUACCUUAUAACCCUGAUGUUACCUGCAGAAUAAGCACCGGCUAAUUCCGUGCCAGCAGCCGCGGUAAUACGGAAGGUGCAAGCGUUAAUCGGAAUUACUGGGCGUAAAGCGCGCGUAGGUGGUUUGUUAAGUUGGAUGUGAAAGCCCUGGGCUCAACCUAGGAACUGCAUCCAAAACUAACUCACUAGAGUACGAUAGAGGGAGGUAGAAUUCAUAGUGUAGCGGUGGAAUGCGUAGAUAUUAUGAAGAAUACCAGUGGCGAAGGCGGCCUCCUGGAUCUGUACUGACACUGAGGUGCGAAAGCGUGGGUAGCGAACAGGAUUAGAUACCCUGGUAGUCCACGCCGUAAACGAUGACAACUAGCUGUUGGGAGACUAUGUCUUUCAGUGGCGCAGCUAACGCUUUAAGUUGUCCGCCUGGGGAGUACGGCCGCAAGGCUAAAACUCAAAUGAAUUGACGGGGACCCGCACAAGCGGUGGAGCAUGUGGUUUAAUUCGAUGCAACGCGAAAAACCUUACCUACUCUUGACAUACUUGGAGGCUCUUGUAAUGAGAGU
rnacentral:rRNA from 1 species